UACAGAGGUCUCAAGCGUUGUUCGGAUUCAUUGGGCGUAAAGGGUGCGUAGGCGGCGCGGUAAGUCGGACGUGAAAUCCCUCGGCUUAACCGAGGAACUGCGUCCGAUACUGAAAGGCUUGAAUCCGGGAGAGGGAUGUGGAAUUCCAGGUGUAGCGGUGAAAUGCGUAGAUAUCUGGAGGAACACCGGUGGCGAAGGCGGCGUUCUGGACUGCAACUGACACUGAGGAACGAAAGCCAGGGGAGCAAACGGG
rnacentral:rRNA from 1 species